GAUGAACGCUGGCGGCGUGCCUAAUACAUGCAAGUCGAGCGAACAGACGAGGAGCUUGCUCCUCUGACGUUAGCGGCGGACGGGUGAGUAACACGUGGAUAACCUACCUAUAAUACUGGGAUAACUUCGGGAAACCGGAGCUAAUACCGGAUAAUAUAUUGAACCGCAUGGUUCAAUAGUGAAAGACGGUUUUGCUGUCACUUAUAGAUGGAUCCGCGCCGCAUUAGCUAGUUGGUAAGGUAACGGCUUACCAAGGCAACGAUGCGUAGCCGACCUGAGAGGGUGAUCGGCCACACUGGAGCUGAGACACGGUCCAGACUCCUACGGGAGGCAGCAGUAGGGAAUCUUCCGCAAUGGGCGAAAGCCUGACGGAGCAACGGCGCGUGAGUGAUGAAGGUCUUCGGAUCGUAAAACUCUGUUAUUAGGGAAGAACAACUGUGUAAGUAACUAUGCACGUCUUGACGGUACCUAAUCAGAAAGCCACGGCUAACUACGUG
rnacentral:rRNA from 1 species